rnacentral:rRNA from 1 species
CAGCCGCCGCGGGAAUACAGAGGGUGCAAGCGUUAAUCGGAAUUACUGGGCGUAAAGCGCGCGUAGGUGGUUUGUUAAGUUGGAUGUGAAAUCCCCGGGCUCAACCUGGGAAUGGCAGUGGAUACUGGCAAGCUAGAGUGUGUCAGAGGAUGGUGGAAUUCCCGGUGUAGCGGUGAAAUGCGUAGAGAUCGGGAGGAACAUCAGUGGCGAAGGCGGCCAUCUGGGACAACACUGACGCUGAGGCACGAAAGCGUGGGGAGCAAACAGGAUUAGAUACCCGCGUAGUCCCUGUCUCUUAUAC